UUCUUUUUAAUCUAUGGGUUGGACAAGAUUUUAGCAAAUACUUUGCUUCAGAGUUUAACACCUCUACUAGGUUAUGCCCUUUGAUGCCAUUCGGCCUUGCCAUGAUGAAGUUGAUAACCUGCUACUGUCACUACUAACAUGAGGUUGAACAACCCCAUCAUUCUAGAUGGAUAAAGAGGUUGAACAACCCUUGUUCCUAUUAGGCCUUGCCAUGACUAAGUUGAUAACCUCAUAUUGUCACUACUCAUGUAAGGUCGAACAACCCCACCACUAAAGUGAGAGGACUCAUGUCAUUUAGGUUGACAGGGUAUGCCACUUCUCUCAUUUUUAAUAUUUUUGAGAAGAAUAUUUUAGGAAUUUUUGUUGUUGAUGCAAAUAAAGCUGAUGUAACACGGAUUAGAUGGUGUGGUGAAAAGUGGAGGUGUUUCAAUUCUUAAAUUAUGGGUAUUUUUUUAUCUUAAACGAAAACUCCUAGGUCUUUUUUUGGUCAAGUAUUCUAAAAUUUCAACCAAUAUCUUCUUCAUUUUCAGCUAUGCCUUUAGAUGAACUUGAUGUUAAGUGGGCUUGCCCCCUAAAUAGACAAGAGUCCUUUUGGAAUUGGACAGUAUGCUGGUGCACAUGCUCAUGUAAAUGGUGCUCCAUUUUUUUUUAAAAAAAAAAAGAUCAAAGAGGUACUAAGGGGUGCAAACCUGAAUACAAAAAAAGAAGAUUUGAAAGAUGAAGAAGAAGAAUUUCCAUAUUGUUACUAAAAUCUGCUGUUGAAAAAUGCUUUUUAUUACAGAAACUUCGUUGAAGGGCAUAGUAAAUCUGAAGUGCUCAACCAAUAUGUGGUCUAUGCUUAGUGUUCUGACAACUCUUGGUGCUUUUGCUGCUUUAGCUUUUGUUACCCCACUUUGUUCUUGCUGUCUAAUGAGGGAAAUUCGAGAUGUCUCGAGGCAAAAUGCCUCCAAGGCACCAAGAGAGAAGAUGGUUUACGAAAAAUAAAUUAGUAAUUUACUUUGAGUGGCAUGAUUUUGUUCUACUUGAUCCUAGGAUCCGGAAUAAUGAAGCACCAUGCCUCAAAGGCAUGGUAGCAUCCUCUAUCUACUGAACCUUUAUUCAUCACCUACUAAAUUAUAUUUGACUAGUGCAUCGCACUUUUGUGUAAGCUUCUGUCAUAGGUGUGCUUAACAGCACGUUAUUGGCUGUGGUUUGUAUUUCUUGUCUUAAGUAACUCCAUUUUCUUCAACUGUUUAUUUUCUUGUGACAACUAGAUUCUUUUAAGUGGUCAGUUC
rnacentral:lncRNA from 1 species